CUGGCGGUCUUUUGGCCGUCCGAGUUGUAAUUUAGAGAAGCGUCUUCCGCGCCGGACUGUGCACAAGUCUCCUGGAAUGGAGCGUCAUAGAGGGUGAGAAUCCCGUCUUUGGCACAGACACCCGGGGCUUCUGUGAUGCGCUCUCGAAGAGUCGAGUUGUUUGGGAAUGCAGCUCAAAAUGGGUGGUGAACUCCAUCUAAAGCUAAAUAUUGGCGAGAGACCGAUAGCGAACAAGUACCGUGAGGGAAAGAUGAAAAGCACUUUGGAAAGAGAGUGAAACAGUACGUGAAAUUGUUGAAAGGGAAACGCUUGAAGUCAGUCGCGUUGACCGAGACUCAGCCUCGCCUCGGCUUGGUGCACUUCUCGGCUGACGGGCCAGCAUCAAUUUUGCCCCUCGGAUAAUGGCAAGGGAAAGGUGGCACCUUCACCGGUGUGUUAUAGUCUCCUGUCGCAUGCGUGGGGUGGGAUUGAGGAACUCAGCAUGCGCUCUCUUGGCGUCGGGGCUUAGGCCCACGUUUACAUGCUUAGGAUGUUGGCGUAAUGGCUUUAAACGACCCGUCUUGAAACACGGACCAAGGAGUCUAACAUGCCCGCGAGUGUUCGGGUGGAAAACCCGUGUGCGUAAUGAAAGUGAAAGUUGGGACCUCUGUCGUGGAGGGCACCGAUGCCCGGACCAGACCUUCUGUGACGGAUCUGCGGUARAGCGUGCAUGUUGGGACCCGAAAGAUGGUGAACUAUGCCUGAAUAGGGUGAAGUCAGAGGAAACUCUGGUGGAGGCUCGUAGCGAUUCUGACG
rnacentral:rRNA from 1 species